rnacentral:lncRNA from 1 species
CUUCAGAGCAGGGUGCAGAACUCGGCAGUGGCAGUCUCCACAGAUAACAGAUGUCUACUUAAUAGGUCUGUUUCUCAUUCCUUGGUAAAUGUCAAGCUUUCUUUCAAGACCCCAGUGCGUCAUUGUUUCAAUCCUGUUUCUUGCAAUCCACUGAAAUCUUCCAAGAGCUCAGCCCUUGGAAGCCCAGCCCCUCCACGGACUGCAGUCUGCAGUCUGCACAUGCCAUCUACAGGCAUAAGAGGAUGCUGGUUUUAUCCAAGGCAGCCAACAGGAUUGCUUAAUGGAUUGCCAUCCCCAAAGCCCCAGGAGGCAGAGUGGAAGGAAGUCAAGGGUUCUGGUCUCAUGGAGUUAAAGAAUGAUUCUCAGGGGGAAAAAAGAAUGAAGUGAAGUGAAAGUUUACCAAGUGAAGAUAAGAACUCAAAGGAAAGGAGCUCUCUAGAGUGAGCGGAAUCCUGAAUGGGUUGCCCCUAAGGGUUUUUAUGGUCAGUCUUUUGUAGAAAAUGGACCAGGGAACUUGGUAUAUAUCUUGUCUAUAACAUUAAGGACCAAAAAAGUAGAUGUUAAGUUCCCUUCUCUCUGGUUAAUAUCUUGUCUACAACAUUUCUCCAAAUCUGGGAUUUCUGUGAGCCAGGUUACUUACCCUCUGCUUGACCCUAGUCACCUAGCCCUGCCUGUCCCUUAUUCUCAUCUUUGCUAAGCCGGAGAUAAUAAUUCCCCACUAGGUUACUGAGAAAAGGAAAAAGCAACACUUCUUCCUAGAGUUCCCCACUUCUCCUCUGAGGCACUUACUCUAUAAAUCUACUGGUUUCGUGAGAUGCCUAGAUUUCCAUGUAGUCUCCAGGCAUCUCAGACUGCCCUAAAGAAGCAUUUCAGAAGUGGCCCAAUGGUUUUUAUCAAUAACCAAAAAUAAGAGAUGACACCCAACCCAGCCCCCAGCUGGAAGGUAGGACCCACUAGCUAAAAUGCACAUAACAGCAAGCUACUUUGGCAGAUUUUAAGGGUUUGCUCAAGCCUAAAGGUUGACAACAGAAAACCCAGCAGGUUUUGAGGCUAUGGCCCUCUUCUAAAGGAAACUGACUGGAAUGAGCUGGGGCUCAUUGAUUAGAAUUACCAGGCUCAACCCAGAUGUAUCUGAUCGCACAGUUUUCAUUCCCACUUCACCCCCUGAGAACCUGACCUCCAUCUGGUUCAGCUGAAGCAGCAGCCCUUGAAAAGAAAGGCAGGACUGAAAGGGACAAAAAGUUCAAGUUCUGGAAAUCUCCUUGGUGUGGCCGCUUACUGGCACAAAUGCAUAAGCCACAGGCCUGAGUGCCCUCGUGCAUCACAGGAAGACCAUGCAAAGGUAAAUCGCUAAGGCAAGUAGAAAUCC